UACGGAGGGGGCUAGCGUUGUUCGGAAUUACUGGGCGUAAAGCGCACGUAGGUGGCUUUGUAAGUUAGAGGUGAAAGCCCGGGGCUCAACUCCGGAAUUGCCUUUAAGACUGCAUCGCUAGAACGUCGGAGAGGUAAGUGGAAUUCCGAGUGUAGAGGUGAAAUUCGUAGAUAUUCGGAAGAACACCAGUGGCGAAGGCGACUUUCUGGUCUGUAACUGACACUGAGGCGCGAAAGCGUGGGGAGCAAACAGG
rnacentral:rRNA from 1 species